rnacentral:rRNA from 1 species
GACGAACGCUGGCGGCGUGCUUAACACAUGCAAGUCGAACGGAAAGGCCUCUUUCGGGGGGUACUCGAGUGGCGAACGGGUGAGUAACACGUGAGUAACCUGCCCUUGACUUUGGGAUAACUUCAGGAAACUGGGGCUAAUACCGGAUAGGAGCUCCUGCUGCAUGGUGGGGGUUGGAAAGUUUCGGCGGUUGGGGAUGGACUCGCGGCUUAUCAGCUUGUUGGUGGGGUAGUGGCUUACCAAGGCUUUGACGGGUAACCGGCCUGAGAGGGUGACCGGCCACAUUGGGACUGAGAUACGGCCCAGACUCCUACGGGAGGCAGCAGUGGGGAAUAUUGCACAACGGGUGGAAGCCUGAUGCAGCAACGCCGUGUGCGGGAGGACGGCCUUCGGGUUGUAAACCGCUUUCGCUCAUGACGAAGUUUUGUGUGACGGUAGUGGGUAAAGAAGCACCGGCUAACUACGUG